UACGGAGGGUGCUAGCGUUGUUCGGAAUCACUGGGCGUAAAGGGCGUGUAGGCGGUCUGUUAAGUCUGAUGUGAAAUCCCCUCGCUCAACGAGGGAACUGCGUCGGAUACUGGCAGACUCGAGUGCCGGAGAGGAAGGUGGAAUUCCCGGUGUAGCGGUGAAAUGCGUAGAGUAUCGGGAGGAACACCGGUGGCGAAGGCGGCCUCUGGACGGAUACUGACGCUGAGACGCGAAAGCGUGGGGAGCAAACAGGAUUGAGAUACCGGAGU
rnacentral:rRNA from 1 species